GAGUGUUUCACAUCUGCUCGGUCUAAAGGUUGGUUCACUUCUGUGAGUUGAAUACAGGCACCAAAAAGAAGUUACUGAGAAUUCUUCUUUCUAGCAUUAUAUGAAGAAAUCCCGUUUCCAAAGAAGGCCUCAAAGAGGUAUAAAUAUCCACUUGCAGACUUUACAAAGAGAGUUUUUCCAAACUGCUCUAUGAAAAGAAAGGUUAAACUCGGCGAGUUGAACGCACACAUCACAAAGUAGUUUCUGAGAAUGAUUCUCUCUUGUUUUUCUACGAAUAUAUGUCCUUUUCUACCAUUGGCCUCAAAGCGAUUGAAAUCUGCACCUGGAAAUUCCACAAAAAGAGUGUAUCAAAUCUGCUCUGUCAAAAGGAAGUUUCAAUUCUGCUAGUUGAAUAAAUAUAACACAAAUAAGUUUCUGAGAAUUCUUCUGUCUAACAUUAUAUGAAGAAAUCCCGUUUCCAACGAAGGCCUCAAAGGUGUCCAAAUAUCCACUGGCAAACUUUACAAAGAGAGUGUUUCCAAACUGCUCAAUCAAAAGAAAGGUUAAACUCUGUGAAUUGAAUGCACACAUCACAAAGUAGUUUCUGAGAAUGAUUCUGUCUACUUUUUAUACGAAGAUAUUUCCUUUUCUACUUUUGGCCUAUAAGCGCUUGAAAUCUCCAACUUCAAAUAUCACAGAAAGAGUGUUUCACAUCUGCUCCAUUGAAAAGAAGGUUCAACUCUGUGAGUUGAAUACACAGGACACAAAGAAGUUACUGAGAAUUCUUUGUCCAGCAGUAUAUGAAGAAAUCCCGUUUCCAACGAAGGCCUCAAAGAGGUCCAAUUUUCCACGUGCAGAUAUUAAAAAGAGAGUGAUUCUAAACAGCACUAUGAAAAGAAAUGUUAAACUCUGUGAGUUGAACGCUCACAUGACAAAGUAGUUUCUCAGAAUGAUUCUGUCUAGAUUUUAUACGAAGAUACUACGUUUUCUACCCUUGGCCUGAAAGCGCUUGAAAUCUCCACAUGCAAAUUCCACAAAAAGAGUGUAUCAAAUGUGCUCUGUCUAAAGGAAGGUUCAAGUCUGUGAGUGGAAUACACACAACACAAAGAAGUUACUGAGAAUUCUUCUGUCUAGCAUUAUAUGAAGAAAUCCCUUUUCUAAGGAAAGUCUCGAAGAGGUCCAAAUAUCCUCUUGCGGACUAUCCAACCAGAGUGUUUCCACACUGCUGCAUGAAAAGAAAGGUUAAACUCUGUGAGUUGAACGCACACAUCAAAAAGUAGUUUCUGAGAAUGAUUCUGUCUAAUUUUUAUACGAAGAUAUUUCUUUUUCUACCAUUGGCCUCAAAGCGAUUGAAAUUUCCACAUGGAAAUUCCACAAAAAGAGUGUUUCAAAUCUGCUCUGUCUAAAGGAAAGUUCAACUCUGUGAGUUGAAUGCACACAACAGAAAUAAGUUACUGAGAAUUCUUCUGUCUAACAUUAUAUGAAGAAAUCCCGUUUCCAACGAAGGCUUCAAAGAACUCCAAUUAUCCACUUGCAGAUAUUACAAAGAGAGUGUUUCUAAACAGCUCUAUGAAAAGAAAGGUUAAACUCUGUAUGUUGAACGCACACAUCAAAAAGUAGUUUCU
rnacentral:lncRNA from 1 species